AAGUAAAUUAUAAAAAUGAGCAAAACAAAUGUAAAAUAUAAGCAAAACAUAAGGAAAUGUAUAUUUAUGUGUGCUUUUUUUUUUGGCAAAGUAUUUAUGUGUGUCUAUGAUAGAUAGAUGAGAUAAUCUGAGCGGCAUAUCAUAACUUUCCUUUUGACAUGUCUAGAAUUUCAAUUUCUUAUUUU
rnacentral:sRNA from 1 species